GUACAGCGGCUCGGCCAGGAUCUGGAGGGCGCCGUCGGUUGGUGCGCGGCGGACGGGGGCGGGUCAUGGCGCUGCUUCUGUGUCUGGGCCUGACCGCGGCGCUGGCCCGCGGCUGCCUUCAUUGCCACCGCAACUUCUCGGAGAAAUUCUCCUUCUACCGCCAUCACGUGAACCUCAAGUCCUGGUGGGUGGGCGACAUCCCCGUGUCGGGCUCGUUGCUCACCUACUGGAGCCAGGACACGAUGAAGGAGCUGCACCUAGCCAUCCCCGCGGAGAUCACCCGGGAGAAGCUGGGCCAAGUGGCGAACGCCGUAUACCAGAAAAUGGAUCAGCUGUACCAGGGGAAGAUGUAUUUCCCGGGGUAUUUCCCCAGCGAGCUUCGAGCCAUUUUCCGGGAGCAGGUGCACCUCAUCCAGAAUGCCAUCAUUGAAAUCCCUGGAGGUACCAGCCGUAUCGACUGUCAGCGUCACUGUGGCAUCUUCCAGUAUGAGACCAUCUCAUGCAUCAACUGCACGGACUCACAUGUCGUCUGCUUUGGCUACAACUGCGAGUCAUCGGUGCAAUGGGAGACAGCUGUGCAGGGCCUCCUCCUUUACAUAAAUAAUUGGCACAAACAGGACACCAACAUGAGACAUCACCUGUGCAACAUCCAUGUGAUCACUUCAUGAAUAAACAUGUCCUCCUCCUCGCCACCUGGAUGCCCAGUACCACUCCAGCCUUCCUGGUAUCACCAAGCUUCACAUGUCUAGAGCCCCCACACCUGGCCAACCUGACCCUGGAAACUGCUUCUGAGUGCCUGACGCAGCACUGACGGCC